AAGGAUUUAAGUUAAAUAAACUAGUAACCUUCAAAGUUAAAAAUAGAAUUAUUCUAAGCCUUA
rnacentral:tRNA from 1 species